rnacentral:rRNA from 1 species
CCUACGGGACGCAGCAGUGGGGGAUAUUGCACAAUGGGCGCAAGCCUGAUGCAGCGACGCCGCGUGAGCGAAGAAGUAUUUCGGUAUGUAAAGCUCUAUCAGCAGGGAAGAAAAUGACGGUACCUGACUAAGAAGCUCCGGCUAAAUACGUGCCAGCAGCCGCGGUAAUACGUAUGGAGCAAGCGUUAUCCGGAUUUACUGGGUGUAAAGGGAGCGUAGGCGGCAUGGUAAGUCUGAUGUGAAAAUUUG